GACGUAGGUGGCGAACGUUAUCCGGAAUUAUUGGGCGUAAAGGGUGCGUAGGCGGCAUGAUAAGUUAUUGGCGGCAAAUCGAGGCUCAACCUCGUGGAAACUGAUAAUACUGUCUUGCUUGAGUGCAGAAGAGGUUAACGGAACUCCAUGUGGAGCGGUAAAAUGUGUAGAUAUAUGGAAGAACAUCAAUAACGGCGAAGGCAGUUAACUAUUCUGUUACUGACGUUGAGGCACGAAAGCGUGGGGAGCAAAAGG
rnacentral:rRNA from 1 species